rnacentral:rRNA from 1 species
UAAAAUUAAAAAAUUUGGCGGUAUUUUAGUCUUUUCAGAGGAACCUGUUCUAUAAUUGAUAGUCCACGAUUAAUUGUACUUUUUCUAUAAAUUUGUAUAUCGUCGUAGUUUGAAUGUUUUUAAAGAAUUUUUAAUAUUCAAGAUUUUAUAUAUUAAAGUAAAUCAGAUCAAGGUGUAGUUUAUGGGAAAGUAGAAAUGGGUUACAGUUAAGUAAUUAUUGGAUAUUUUUAUGAAAUUGAAAAUUAAAAUUGGAUUUGAAAGUAAUUUUAAUAAUUUUUUUAAUGUGACUUAAGCUCUAAAAUAUGCACAUAUUGCCCGUCGCUUUUGUUUUAAGAUGAAAUAAGUCGUAACAAAGUAGAUUUACUGGAAAGUGAAUCUAGAAG